GAUUGGAUAUGUUAAUGAAAGGUGAUAAGAGAGAUCAGUGGACAAUGCCCAAAGUAAGACACUGGGAAACAGCCAAAUUAAGAGGUAUGCUCAUGACGGGUCUGUUGAAUACGCUGAUAGGAUAGAAUAUGGACAAUAUGUUGACUGCAAAGAGACCAAUCUGAAAGCAAGGGCUCAUCAAAGGAGUGAAGUUAAAGGAAAGCAUAAAAGUGAGCAGCAAGAAAGUUAAGUGUGGCAUCGUUAUCAUUGUCAUCAUAAAUCCAGCCUUCAAUAUCUGUCUGGAGCAUCCCAGACAACAAUACACCCUUUGCUUCAUGAACAGAGUGGCCAUCUUUUCCGAGCAAAGUAACAUCUUGGAUUGGCUCUGCUUCUCCAUGUGUAAAAAUCCCUGAAAUAUACAACUCCAGAUGGACAGACAGAGUUUCUCAGGGGGUUGUGACCUAACUCCCUAGAUGCCUCCAGGGAAUAGGCUAGAACAGUCAGAAGAGGCAGAGGCCAGUGGAGCAGCAAGGAUGAUGUGCCUCUGCAUGGUUGCAGCACUGUCCCACAAUAAGGGAGAUCCAGUUUUGAUGUUCCCUUCAGAAUGGAGGGAUCUGAGCCCACCUCACUGCCUGCCAUGUAGGACACAGUGUUCUGGGAAGUGAUGUGUUCUCAUCCUUUCCUGCUGACUCUAUUUCAGAGCUAUACAGGGACAAUGAUUCUCUGUCCUACUGAUUAGGGCAGGGAUUUUCAAUCCUUUUUUUAACAAGUGUACCCCUUCUCUCAAAGUGUCAGCCCAUGUACCCCAUUAUAUUUUCUCUUGUUUUUAAGGGGCAGGAAGGGGGAAGAUUGAUGUCCCUGCAGUGAG